GUGGGGAAUAUUGGACAAUGGGCGAAAGCCUGAUCCAGCCAUGCCGCGUGUGUGAAGAAGGUCUUCGGAUUGUAAAGCACUUUAAGUUGGGAGGAAGGGUAGUAACCUAAUACGUUGCUACUUUGACGUUACCGACAGAAUAAGCACCGGCUAACUUCGUGCCAGCAGCCGCGGUAAUACGAAGGGUGCAAGCGUUAAUCGGAAUUACUGGGCGUAAAGCGCGCGUAGGUGGUUCAGUAAGUUGGAAGUGAAAUCCCCGGGCUCAACCUGGGAACUGCAUCCAAAACUGGCGAGCUAGAGGACGGUAGAGGGUGGUGGAAUUUCCUGUGUAGCGGUGAAAUGCGUAGAUAUAGGAAGGAACACCAGUGGCGAAGGCGACCACCUGGACUGAUACUGACACUGAGGUGCGAAAGCGUGGGGAGCAAACAGGAUUAGAAACCCGAGUAGUCC
rnacentral:rRNA from 1 species